UACGAAGGGGGCUAGCGUUGCUCGGAAUCACUGGGCGUAAAGGGUGCGUAGGCGGGUUUUUAAGUCAGGGGUGAAAUCCUGGAGCUCAACUCCAGAACUGCCUUUGAUACUGAAGAUCUUGAGUCCGGGAGAGGUGAGUGGAACUGCGAGUGUAGAGGUGAAAUUCGUAGAUAUUCGCAAGAACACCAGUGGCGAAGGCGGCUCACUGGCCCGGUACUGACGCUGAGACGCGAAAGCGUGGGGAGCGAACAGG
rnacentral:rRNA from 1 species